CCUACAAUUCCCGAUAGAACAAUCUCGCCAGUCCUACUGUACUUUAAGUCUAUCCUUUUUGGGGGGACUUGUAUCUGGCAUCAUUGAUCAGAUAUGAAAUUUCGAAAAAAUACUCAACUCACGAAGACUCAAAUCGUUCUUGCGACAAUAUUUGGUAGUUUGAGUGGGCUUUAUAUUUGGAUUCCAACAAUAAAGGAUAAUAUCAACAAACAGGAGGAAAGAUUGAAAAUAGAAAAGAAUGAGCAACAAGAAAAUUGAAUCACAGUGGAAAUUAGCAACGUUAUUGAAAUUUCCAAAAUUACCAUUCGAAUUUUCGAAACUCCCAAAGGGGCUAUGGGUAAUUCUAGGAAUCAUAACAGCCGGGGGUUUCUACGGUUUUGUUUACAAACCGAGGCGGCGUCGCUACAAGAUGCGGAUUAGUGAAGAAUAUGCGAAUAUUAUUUAUGAAAACAAGUUGCGAGAAGAACAGGAGACAAUGGGGAAAUUUGAUUAGCUGUACAUAUUUCCCUCCAUGUAGGUUGUGAAUAAAUAAAAAGUAUCAACGAUUGAGAGUUCAA